UGUGCCUCUGUUAUUUGUUUAAACUGUACAACCUAAAAUCCCUAGCUACUACAAGUUAAGAAAAUGUGUUUCUUAACUCAACUGAAGUGGACCUCACAUUAAAGCAUUUAUUACUAGGCUAGUAAUACCAUAUGCAAGCAAUGCAGAAAUCAACUUUUAAUUUCAUGAAAAAUAUUGCAGCAUGUAUGUCAGUAAAUUAUUAUUCUAAAAUGGCACCCAUGUCAUUAAAACAUUGUCUGUGGUCAAAAUAAUAUUUUGUUUGAGACUACUUAAAAAGUGUCUCAAAUUUAAACGAACAUUCUCUGUUGUUUUUAGACAAAUGAAACAGGUGCAAAAACAAACAACCACAAAAAAAGAAUCAUUAUGUCAUCUUAGCAAAGACUACAUUUUCUUUAUUUAGAACAAACCCAGUUUUCUGCAACGAAUGAUUCUCCAAAUUUCUUCUCAAAUCUCUAGAUUGUAAAUUCUUUCAAGCAGGGUCGUCAUCUACCUAUUGUUCCAGGAACAUUUUGAAAUUGUCUCAUUGAUUGUGAAAUUCCCCCCUUAAUAAUAUUGUAAAAUGCUGCAGAAUAAGUUGGCG